UUUGUAGACAAGAAUAUUUGGAUUUUGGGGGAGAGCCAGUUAGAAGUUUAGAUGAUAAGUUAGAUAUUUUGAAGUUCUCCUAUAGCUGGGCCACUGAGGUUGAAGAUCAUGAAAGACAAAUGGAGGAGGAAGUACAGUUACAAACUAAAGAACAACAAGAGGGUGGUACAGAAAAAGAAAUUCAGAAAGGAGUUUCAAAGGAAGAUGAAAAGUUGAUGAUGCCAGAGAAACCACAGGAAGUUACGUCAGCUGGGGAAAAGAUAAACGAUAAGACAGAAGAAAUCCAGGGUCCACUCCCAAAGGAAGAGGCACAGCAGGAGAAG